rnacentral:misc_RNA from 1 species
AACGCACAUUGCGCCCUUUGGUAUUCCGAAGGGCAUGCCUGUUCGAGCGUCAUUAUCACCCCUCAAGCCCCCUGGCUUGGUGUUGGACGGCAGGCGAGGACCUCACGGUCGUCGCCCCUCCCAAAGACAAUGACGGCGGCCUCGUUGGACCCCCGGUACACUGAGUUCUUCACGGGACACGUACUGGAUCAAGGGUGCGCGGAGCACGGUCUUACCUCCCCCUCGCGGGAGAACUUUUUAUCAAGGUUGACCUCGGAUCAGGUAGGGAUACCCGCUGAACUUAA